CGUGUAGGCGGUUAAGUAAGUCAGAUGUGAAAGCCCUGGGCUUAACUCAGGAAGUGCAUUUGAAACUGCUUGACUAGAGUAGGAGAGAGGAAAGUGGAAUUCCUGGUGUAGAGGUGAAAUUCGUAGAUAUCAGGAGGAACACCGGUGGCGAAGGCGGCUUUCUGGCUCUAUACUGACGCUGAGACGCGAAAGCGUGGGGAGCAAACAGGAUUAGAUACCCUGGUAGUCC
rnacentral:rRNA from 1 species